rnacentral:rRNA from 1 species
GAUGAACGCUGGCGGCGUGCCUAAUACAUGCAAGUCGAGCGAACGGACGAGAAGCUUGCUUCUCUGAUGUUAGCGGCGGACGGGUGAGUAACACGUGGAUAACCUACCUAUAAGACUGGGAUAACUUCGGGAAACCGGAGCUAAUACCGGAUAAUAUUAUGAACCGCAUGGUUCAAAAGUGAAAGACGGUCUUGCUGUCACUUAUAGAUGGAUCCGCGCUGCAUUAGCUAGUUGGUAAGGUAACGGCUUACCAAGGCAACGAUGCAUAGCCGACCUGAGAGGGUGGUCGGCCACCCUGGAACUGAGACACGGUCCAGGCUCCUACGGGAGGCAGCAGUAGGGAAUCUUCCGCCAUGGGCGAAAGCCUGACGGAGCAACGCCGCGUGAGUGAUGAAGGUCUUCGGAUCGUAAAACUCUGUUAUUAGGGAAGAACAUAUGUGUAAGUAACUGUGCACAUCUUGACGGUACCUAAUCAGAAAGCCACGGCUAACUACGUG